rnacentral:rRNA from 1 species
AAUGAACGUUGGCGGCGUGGAUUAGGCAUGCAAGUCGAGCGAGAACCCGCAAGGGGGACAGCGGCAAACGGGGUAGUAAUGUGUCGGAACGUGCCCUCUGGACGGGGAUAGCGGCGGGAAACUGCCGGUAAUACCCGAUGAACUCGAGAGAGCAAAGGUGUGAUUCCGCCGGAGGAGCGGCCGACAUGGUAUUAGCUAGUUGGCGGGGUAACGGCCCACCAAGGCUGUGAUGCCUAGGGGAUGUGAGAGCAUGAUCCCCACAUUGGGACUGAGACACUGCCCAGACACCUACGGGUGGCUGCAGUCGAGAAUCUUCGUCAAUGGGCGAAAGCCUGAACGAGCGACGCCGCGUGCGGGAUGAAGGCCCUUGGGUUGUAACCGCUGUCGAGGGGGAUGAAGGCUUGAAGGUACUCCGUUCAAGUUUGACAGAGCCCAGAAGGAAGCACGGGCUAAGUUCGUGCCAGCAG